rnacentral:rRNA from 1 species
CCGCGGUAAUACGAGGGGUGCUAGCGUUGUCCGGAAUUACUGGGCGUAAAGGGUUCGUAGGCGUCUUGCCAAGUUGAUCGUUACAGCCACCGGCUUAACCGGUGAUCUGCGAUCAAAACUGGUAAGAUAGAAUAUGUGAGGGGAAUGUGGAAUUCCUGGUGUAGCGGUGACAUGCGUAGAUAUCAGGAGGAACACCAAUGGCGAAGGCAGCAUUCUGGCACAAUAUUGACGCUGAGGAACGAAAGCGUGGGGAGCGAACAGG